UCUGGCUGUGACAUCUGUCACCCCAUUGAUCACCAGUGUUGAUUCAGCUGAUCUCACUGCCUAGGCAGAAGAUCGGCU
rnacentral:snRNA from 1 species